rnacentral:rRNA from 1 species
CCUACGGGGGGCAGCAGUGGGGGAUAUUGCACAAUGGGGGGAACCCUGAUGCAGCGACGCCGCGUGGGUGAAGGAGUAUUUCGGUAUGUAAAGCCCUAUCGGCAGGGAAGAAGCAAGACGGUACCUGACUAAGAAGCCCCGGCUAACUACGUGCCAGCAGCCGCGGUAAUACGUAGGGGGCGAGCGUUAUCCGGAUUCACUGGGUGUAAAGGGAGCGUAGACGGCCAUGCAAGCCAGAGGGGAAAACCCGGGGCCCAACCCCGGGACUGCCCUUGGAACUGUGCGGCCAGAGGGCGGGAGGGGCG